rnacentral:tRNA from 2 species
GGAGCGGUAGUUCAGCUGGUUAGAAUACCUGCCUGUCACGCAGGGGGGCGCGGGUUCGAGUCCCGUCCGUUCCG